rnacentral:sRNA from 1 species
CGGAUCGCGGCGACGUGGGCGGUUCGCCACCGGCGACGUCGCGAGAAGUCCACUGAACCUUAUCAUUUAGAGGAAGGAGAAGUCGUAACAAGGUUUCCGUAGGUGAACCUGCGGAAGGAUCAUUGUCGAAUCCUGCACAGCAGAACGACCCGCGAACCGUCGAAUCGCAACCUUCUGGACGAGAGCCGGGCGGCCUCCGCCUUCCCCGGUGCCUCGGCCGAAACAACAAACCCCGGCGCGGCACGCGCCAAGGAAAACUCGAACGGAAUUGGUGUGCCCGGACGAUAGUGCAUCGUCCCGGUGCCGCCGGUCUUCCGGGAAAAUCUCGAAUGACUCUCGGCAACGGAUAUCUCGGCUCUCGCAUCGAUGAAGAACGUAGCGAAAUGCGAUACUUGGUGUGAAUUGCAGAAUCCCGUGAACCAUCGAGUCUUUGAACGCAAGUUGCGCCCGAGGCCACCCGGCCGAGGGCACGUCUGCCUGGGCGUCACGCGAACGCCGCUCCGCCCCCUCGCAAGAGCGCGGACAGGAGCGAAYGUUGGCCCCCCGUGACCCGGCUCACGGUCGGCUUAAAACGGAUCCCCCCUCGUUGCCCCGCGACGCGAUCGGUGGUGGUUGACGGCAACCCUUACCCGCGAUUGGACGACGCGGCCGAGGGGCACGGGGGAAACGAACCCUUCGGAGAGAACUCCACGAGCGACCUCAGGUCAGGCGGGGCCACCCGCUGAGUUUAAGCAUAUCAAUAAGCGGAGGAGAAGAAACUUACAAGGA